GUCACCCCUCCUGGCCCCGCCCCUCACCGGUACCGCCCCCAUCCAUGGGAAACACCCGGCUGGAUUUCGGUGCUUUUUAGGCUGAAUACCUGGGGAUUUAGGAGACAGUUGCAAAGGAAGCUCGCUAUCUUCGUGGGGCUUAAUUAAUUGAAAUCUGACUCAGAGAUAACUCCCUCCAGGAGCCAUUUCUGUCUGAUGGGCAAUCAAGGACCAAUCAUGACUCAUAGAAUGAUAUCAGCCCAUUGUGAGAGGCUCCGCCCAGGGGGAGGAGCUCAGCAUCCCCACCUGGAUAUAAUCUGGGCUUUGGGACAGAACAGGCAGCCCUUACCCACGGGUUUCCAGAGGACAAGAGCUGCCAGAUCUUUUCUAGGGGAUCACCACUUCAGCAAGACCAUUUCAUCUGGACUGCUACCACCAGCCUAACUAGCAGGGUGUCAGGUUGGAUUCUGACACUGUCGGUGGUUUCAUUUUGUACUAUUAUAUAUCUUUGAGGGGGGGGUUUCUCUUUCCCUAAUAAAAUGUAUUUCUGAA